rnacentral:rRNA from 1 species
GUGCCAGCCGCCGCGGUAACACCAGCCCCUCGAGUGGUGGGGACUUUUAUUUGGCCUAAAGCGUCCGUAGCCGGCUGUGUCCGUUAUCCGUUAAAUCCGGCGUCCUAAGCGUCGGACUGCGGGUGAUACCACACAGCUAGAGGGUGGGAUAGGUAAGCGGUAUUUCUGGGGUAGGGGCGAAAUCCUGUAAUCCUCAAGGGACCACCAGUGGCGAAGGCGUCGCUCUAAAACGGGUCCGACGAUAAGGGACGAAGCCUUGGGGCGCAAACGGGAUUAGAUACCCCGGUAGUCCAAGGUGUAAACGCUGCGGGCUUGGUGUCGGGGGUCCUAUGUGGGCGUCCGGUGCCGGAGCGAAGGUGUUAAGCCCGUUACCUGGGGAGUACGGUCGCAAGACUGAAACUUAAAGGAAUUGGCGGGGGAGCACCGCAACGGGUGGAGCGUGCGGUUUAAUUAGAUUCAACGCCGGAAAACUCACCAGGAGCGACGGUUAUAUGAAGGCCAGGCUGAUGACCUUGCCAGAUUUUCCGAGAGGUGGUGCAUGGCCGUCGUCAGUUCGUACCGUAAGGCGUUCUGUUAAGUCAGAUAACGAACAAGACCCCUACCCAUAAUUGCCAUCUGCCCCUCCGGGGGUGGGGAACAUUAUGGGGACCGCUGGCGCUAAGUCAGAGGAAGGAGGGGGCAACGAUAGGUCCGUAUGCCCCGAAUCUCUUGGGCUACACGCGCGCUACAAAGGCCGGGACAAUGGGAUCCGACACCGAAAGGUGAAGGCAAUCUCGAAAUCCGGUCAUAGUCCAGACUGAGGGUUGUAACCCACCCUCACGAAGUGGGAAUCCGUAGUAAUCGCGUGUCAACAUCACGCGGUGAAUAUGCCCCUGCUCCUUGCACACACCGCCCGUCAAACCAUCCGAGUGGGGUUCGAAUGAGGGUUUCCUUAUUGGGGGGCUCGAAUUUGAGUUCCGCAAGGAGGGUUAAGUCGUAACAAGGUAACC